AUAAUGAUACUUCAAUAGUUUAUGCCGGCUCGUCUGGAAUAAGAGGCGGAGGUGAAAUUCCUAUGU
rfam:Johnsonella ignava ATCC 51276 genomic scaffold supercont1.15, whole genome shotgun sequence.